GACGAACGCUGGCGGCGUGCCUAAUACAUGCAAGUAGAACGCAGUUGCGAACGGGUGAGUAACGCGUAUGUAACUGCCUCAUAGCGGGGGAUAACUCUUUGAAACGAUAGCUAAUACCGCAUACUGUGAGAUGUACCUGCGUUGUAUUAGAUAGUUGGUGAGGUAAAGGUUCACCAAGGCGACGAUACAUCGCCGACCUGAGAGGGUGAUCGGCCACAAUGGGACUGAGGCACGGCCCAGGCUCCAUCGGGAGGCAGAAGUAGGGAAACUUCGGAAAUGGAAGGAAGUCUGACCGAGCAAAGCCGCGGGAGUGAAAAAGGUUUUCGGAUAGGAAAGCUCUGUUGUUAGAGAAGCGGUAACUAACAAGAAAGGGACGGCUAACUACGUGACAGCAGCCGCGGUAAUAC
rnacentral:rRNA from 1 species